UCUACUGAAAUAUCAGCUAAACGAUUAUUGGGCUGUGUUUUCCAUUCGGGAUGCCGCGUAGGGAGAAAACUGGUUUUUAAAGAAGAAACAAAGUGUUUAUGACUGAUGCCGUCAAAGUACUUGUAUUGGGUAUUGCACGGUGGAUGGAUUUUAUUUAAUUUUAAAUUUAAUUUAUUUUAUUUUAAUUGAAGUUUUCCUUAUAUGUAGUUCUUGGACAGAGUUAUAUUAUACGUUCUUUUCUCGUUGACAAUGACUUAGGAACUCCGCUUAAUGUUAAAGCUUAUAAAGAGCUACAGCAUAAUUGACUGGCGCCUCGUGUUAACAUACCGGUUAUUCUAUGGCUUAUCUUGAGCUUGAUCAUGUUGAUAAGAUCCACAGCGUUAUCUGCAUAAGCCAGCGGAUGAAGGGCGAGAGAAACUAACCAAAAAUAACUACACUAAAAAAGGGAUGCCAAUUUGGUGGAACGGUGGUGUGUGCUGACUUUGUAUAUAUAAAUAUAUGUCAAUACAUUUUGUGAAACUUGUGCGGAAUGUGCCACUUGUGGUGUGCAGAUUAUGCUUCCGAUCGGAAAGAUCAAAAAAAUAUAUAUACAUAUAUUUUUUUUUUUCGCACAAAACGGAGGCCUUACCGGUCGAGCGGCCAAUUUGGCGGAACGGGGUUUGUGCUGAUAAUAUACAAAUAUAUGUCGAUAUAUUUUGUGGAACUUGCGCGGAAUGUGCCACUUGUGAAAAUGGAGGCGGUGAAGCGGGGCUGUGUGGAAGAAAUAUAUAAAUUACACGUAUUACACGUAUUGCAUUCGUUAAUUAUGUUUUGUAUUAAUUUUAUGUAGUCUGGGUAAAAAUAUGAGUUUCUAAAGUCUAUUAUCAUUUUUUGUAUUCCUUGAUGAAUUUUAUUUUUGUGUAUUUUAAUAAUAAGGUCUUUAAAUUCUGAAUAGCUACUUAUAUUUAUAAGAUUUUUUGUAGCUUUAUAGAGUUUAGUUCCAGUGUUUGGUCGAAUAAUUUUUAUAUAUUAUUAUAUUAUAUAUAUAUAUUUAUAUAUUUUAUAUUAUUUGAAAAAUAACAAAAUCAUUAAUAUUUUCGAACAAAGUAGUAGAGGUUCGUCCACAAAUGGCUUCUAGUAUUAUAUCGCUUCCCUUUUCACUGGUCAUUUCAGAAUAAAAUAUUUUUAUAAUAGUGCGAUUUUAUAUUUUUUCUACAUCGACUUUUUCUUUGUCACUUUUUAUGAAUAUUAAUUGUCUUUUAUAAAUAUUCAGACGACGCUCUGUAAUUGGAAUACCUAGAAAGCCAUCUUCUUCUGCACUAUGAAUUGUAGGGACUAAUGAUUCAAAAUCUUCAGUUCCAGAUACAAGUGAAUCUGAUUCGUUGUUUAUAAAGUUUGUCGCCGCUUCUUGACUUCUGUCUUUUAUGUUUACUCUGGAAAGAGCGUCUGCUACAAAAUUUGGUUUGCCUUUAAUGUGCUCAAUUUCAAAGUCGUAUUCGUUUAGUCUGAUUAUCCACCUCUGUAACUUCAUGUUUGGCUCUUUUACAUUGUGUAACCAAGCCAAAGGUUUGUGAUCGGAAAUAAUUUUAAACUUUCUACCGUAAAGGUAACAGCGGAAGUAAUUGGUUGCCCACACUAUCGCCAAUAAUUCUUUUUCUAUAACUGAAUACCAAGUCUCAUGUUCGUUAAGAGUGCGGCUUGCAAAACAAAUUGGAUUCUGGUCCUGCGACAAAACUGCACCUAAAGCAAAGUUGCUGGCGUCCGUCGUCAAUGUAAAUUUUUUAUUAAAGUUUGGAUAAGUUAGAAUAGGAUCACUUCUAAUCAAUAAUUUUAAUUUGUUAAAUGCGCUUUUGUAUUCUAUGUUAUUUAUAUCGAUUGACUGUCCCUUUUUUAAGCAUUUUGUAAUAGUUUUAGCAAUUUUAGCAAAGUUUUAAUAAACUUUUUAUAAAAACCACAUG